CCGGGUUCAGCUCAACCCCCCGGAGCUGAACCCCCGCGGCCCCCGCCCUCCCCCCUGGCGGGGGCCGCCCCUA
rfam:Nakamurella panacisegetis strain P4-7,KCTC 19426,CECT 7604 genome assembly, chromosome: I